GUUAUAAUAAUAUCAAUUUACAUAAACAGAUCUAAAAAUCCCAAUAUGUGAGAAAUCAAAUCCCUAUCUUUCAACAAAACCCCAAUGCAUGAACAAUCACAUUCUAUACGUGACAAACAAUAGACAAAUCAAUCCCAAUUUAUGAAAAAUUAAACCCAAUCUGAAAAUGAAAUCCCAAAUCAUAUGAACAAAUCACUCUCUACAUAUCAUAUAUGAGAUGUUCUUCCAUGCCACAAAACACAAAUCCAUUACCAGCUCAAAAAAAAAAAUCACAAAUCCAUUACAUGUGAAGUUGAGAACAGUAAAAAAAACCCCAAUUUGUGAGAGCAUCCAAAUCAGCCGAGAAGGAUGAAAUGAGUAGAGAAAAACCCAAGAUGCAAUGGUCCAUGUGGGUGUGGAUCUCCUUCAAAAUGCCAUCCUCAACUGAAAAAUGAAACAAAUGGGGUUGUUGAAACUUGAAGAAAACCGAAGAAGAAGAAGAAGCAUGGCAUGAGAUUAAUGGAGAAGAAACCAAGCUACAAUGUCGAUGGAAGAAGAAGCAUGGCAUGGUAUGAAUAGAGAAGAACCCAAAACUACGAUUGGAAAGAAACUGUGGAUGAGAGAUUUAGGAUUUAGGGCUUUCAGUAAUUAAGAAUAACGAUAUAUAUGAUAUGUAGAGAAUAAAUACA
rnacentral:lncRNA from 1 species